rnacentral:rRNA from 1 species
UACGAAGGGGGCUAGCGUUGCUCGGAAUCACUGGGCGUAAAGGGUGCGUAGGCGGGUCUUUAAGUCAGGGGUGAAAGCCUGGAGCUCAACUCCAGAAUUGCCUUUAAGACUGCAUCGCUUGAAUCAUGGAGAGGCGGGUGGAAUUCCGAGUGUAGAGGUGAAAUUCGUAGAUAUUCGGAAGAACACCAGUGGCGAAGGCGGCCCGCUGGACAUGUAUUGACGCUGAGGUGCGAAAGCGUGGGGAGCAAACAGG